AACGAACGCUGGCGGCAGGCUUAACACAUGCAAGUCGAGCGCCUCGCAAGGGGAGCGGCAGACGGGUGAGUAACGCGUGGGAACAUGCCCAAAGGUACGGAACAACUCCGGGAAACUGGAGCUAAUACCGUAUGUGACCGAGAGGUGAAAGAUUUAUCGCCUUUGGAUUGGCCCGCGUUGGAUUAGCUAGUUGGUGGGGUAAAGGCCUACCAAGGCGACGAUCCAUAGCUGGUCUGAGAGGAUGAUCAGCCACACUGGGACUGAGACACGGCCCAGACUCCUACGGGAGGCAGCAGUGGGGAAUAUUGGACAAUGGGCGCAAGCCUGAUCCAGCCAUGCCGCGUGAGUGAUGAAGGCCUUCGGGUUGUAAAGCUCUUUCGCACACGACGAUGAUGACGGUAGUGUGAGAAGAAGCCCCGGCUAACUUCGUGCCAGCCGCCGCAGUAAAAC
rnacentral:rRNA from 1 species